AAAUGAAUUGACGGGGCCCCGCACAAGCAGUGGAGCGUGUGGUUUAAUUCGACGCAACGCGCAGAACCUUACCAGGGCUUGACAUCCCCUGACAUCCGCGGAAACGCGGACUCCGGGCUUCGGCCUGGCAGGGAGACAGGUGCUGCAUGGUUGUCGUCAGCUCGUGUCGUGAGAUGUUGGGUUAAGUCCCGCAACGAGCGCAACCCCUAUCCUGUGUUGCCACCGGGUAAAGCCGGGCACUCACUGGAGACUGCCGGAGACAAUUCGGAGGAAGGUGGGGAUGACGUCAAAUCCUCAUGGCCCUUAUGUCCUGGGCUACACACGCGCUACAAUGGCCUGAACAAUGGGCAGCGACACCGCGAGGUGAAGCCAAUCCCACAAAUCAGGUCCCAGUUCGGAUCGCAGGCUGCAACUCGCCUGCGUGAAGCCGGAAUUGCUAGUAAUCGCGGAUCAGCUACGCCGCGGUGAAUACGUUCCCGGGGCUUGUACACACCGCCCGU
rnacentral:rRNA from 1 species